UGUAAUUGUAAUCAAAUACAGGACUGAUUUCAAAAUAGCAUUAAGAAACAGAGGAAUUCCUAACUUUAUAUCACUGUACAGCCCAAUUUUGGGGACCAAAUAAAACCCACUAACCCCUAAAUACUCACUAAACCCCCUACAACACCAAAUAAAACCCAAUAGCAGCCCAAUUCAAACCAAAUAAACAAACAGACCAAAACCGACAAGCCCAAUGCAAACCCAAACUACCCACUACACACUAAACCUACCCAAACCCCAAUCUAACCCUAAAUCACUUAUCCCACCGCCCCAUGUCAGAAUCUGGCCACCGCCUCUGCUCCACCGCCACGGUCACGUAAGUCACCCACUUGCUCCACUACCUGCAAAUAUUAAAUAGAGAAAAGACAGGAAGUAGAAAAGAAACAUGUAAUGGCUAUAUAUAAAGCCGAAUCAAAAACCAUGAGGGUCGGUUUUUUGAAAAUGAAAAGCAUUUAGAUCUUAAAGAAUACAAAACAGAGAUUUCAUCAACAUCAAAAGGAAAAAAAACGAAAUCUCAGCAAAAUCAAAAGGCAGAAAACAGUUCAAACAAAGAAUCGAAAUCUAAUAUUGCAAGGUGAUUUUACCAUCAUCAUUGUCUUCUUUCUUUUUCUUCUUUUAAUCUAUUUAUUCACAUGCCUAUACAUAUAUAAAAUAGCAAAAAAAUAGAAUAAAAAAUUUACCUUGAGCGAUUUCCGGACACCGUGUACGGUGGCCGGAACGGCGGACGACACGGCGGCGAACGGUCGGCUCCUCGCCGGUUUCUGGGCUCGCUGCAGAGAAAGGAGAGAGGGAGAGAGGGUUUCAGCCUUUUUUUGCUGGAAAGAACGAAAAAUGAAGUUUCAAAAAAACCUUGACUUUUAAAGGCUCCCGGUACGACGUCGUUUUGGGGCGUGCAUUCAGCACCCAAAACGACGUCGUUUAGCGAUCCGAUCCACGACCCGACCCGUCUGCCCGAAGGAUCCGCGUGUUUUUGCAAGCAUGGUCUAAUUGCUUAUGCAGUCCUUCCUCUUUUUGUACAUUUUGCAAAC
rnacentral:lncRNA from 1 species